rnacentral:misc_RNA from 1 species
AAGUCGUAACAAGGUUUCCGUAGGUGAACCUGCGGAAGGAUCAUUAACACGUUUAACACGUUUUAAUAACCCCAAAACGUUCGUGAACUGUAUGUGACCGAAUCGAGCAAGUCGUUAAAGGCACUUGAAACCAAAUGGAAGUGUAGAAAGAGGGUCUUCGGAUUCUCUGAUUUCAAGUGUUAUGAUCUUACUGUGUAAGAGCGAUUUGUUUGGUCGGUAAGAAUCUACGCUUCUCGUUAUGUUUAGUGGUUGGAGCUUCGGCUUCAGCUAUUACUCGUAGCGGUAUUUAAUAACCCUUUGUAAAUUUUUGACUAAAUUGUGGUGGGCAAAGUAGGUCUUUGCUUCGAAAGGGGCGAUGGACAUCUAUUAUACCUACGCACGUUAAACUUUUAACAAAAGAACAACUCUUAGCAACGGAUAUCUCGGCUCUC